CCGGCACGGGUGAGUAACACGUAUCCAACCUACCGAUAACUCUGGAAUAGCCUUCUGAAAGGAAGAUUAAUACAAGAUGGCAUCAUGAGUCCGCAUGUUCACAUGAUUAAAGGUAUUCCGGUAGACGAUGGGGAUGCGUUCCAUUAGAUAGUAGGCGGGGUAACGGCCCACCUAGUCUUCGAUGGAUAGGGGUUCUGAGAGGAAGGUCCCCCACAUUGGAACUGAGACACGGUCCAA
rnacentral:rRNA from 1 species